GGAUGAACGCUGGCGGCGUGCUUAACACAUGCAAGUCGAACGGUGAAGCCAAGCUUGCUUGGUGGAUCAGUGGCGAACGGGUGAGUAACACGUGAGCAACCUGCCCUGGACUCUGGGAUAAGCGCUGGAAACGGCGUCUAAUACUGGAUAUGAGCCUUCAUCGCAUGGUGGGGGUUGUAAAGAUUUUUUGGUCUGGGAUGGGCUCGCGGCCUAUCAGCUUGUUGGUGAGGUAAUGGCUCACCAAGGCGUCGACGGGUAGCCGGCCUGAGAGGGUGACCGGCCACACUGGGACUGAGACACGGCCCAGACUCCUACGGGAGGCAGCAGUGGGGAAUAUUGCACAAUGGGCGAAAGCCUGAUGCAGCAACGCCGCGUGAGGGAUGACGGCCUUCGGGUUGUAAACCUCUUUUAGCAGGGAAGAAGCGAAAGUGACGGUACCUGCAGAAAAAGCGCCGGCUAACUACGUGCCAGCAGCCGCGGUAAUACGUAGGGCGCAAGCGUUAUCCGGAAUUAUUGGGCGUAAAGAGCUCGUAGGCGGUUUGUCGCGUCUGCUGUGAAAUCCCGAGGCUCAACCUCGGGCCUGCAGUGGGUACGGGCAGACUAGAGUGCGGUAGGGGAGAUUGGAAUUCCUGGUGUAGCGGUGGAAUGCGCAGAUAUCAGGAGGAACACCGAUGGCGAAGGCAGAUCUCUGGGCCGUAACUGACGCUGAGGAGCGAAAGGGUGGGGAGCAAACAGGCUUAGAUACCCUGGUAGUCCACCCCGU
rnacentral:rRNA from 1 species